UAAGCUCACAGGGGAAUGUUUUAAAAGACAAGUGUGGGGCAGGUGUUUCUACACUGUUGGUGAUGGGUGCCCGGAACGUGCUGCCAGCUGUGGUGGUGGAGGCAGAUACGAUAGUGGCUUUUAAAAGCGUUUUAGAUAGGCACGCAGGGAAUGGA